UACGUAGGGUGCAAGCGUUAAUCGGAAUACUGGGGCGUAAAGCGUGCGCAGGCGGUUGUGUAAGACAGAUGUGAAAUCCCCCGGGCUCAACCUGGGAACUGCAUUUGUGACUGCACGGCUGGAGUGCGGCAGAGGGGGAUGGAAUUCCGCGUGAGCAGUGAAAUGCGUAGAUAUGCGGAGGAACACCGAUGGCGAAGGCAAUCCCCUGGCCUGCACUGACGCUCAUGCACGAAGCGUGGGAGCAACAG
rnacentral:rRNA from 1 species